rnacentral:rRNA from 1 species
GCGGCAGGCUUAACACAUGCAAGUCGAGGGGCAUCGGGGAGGAAGCUUGCUUUCUCCGCCGGCGACCGGCGCACGGGUGAGUAACACGUAUGCAACCUGCCCCUGUCAGGGGGACAACCCGCCGAAAGGCGGGCUAAACCCGCGUACAUGCCACCGGGGCAUCCCGGAGGCAGGAAAGGCUUCGGCCGGACAGGGAUGGGCAUGCGGCGCAUUAGGCAGUAGGCGGGGUAACGGCCCACCUAACCGACGAUGCGUAGGGGUUCUGAGAGGAAGGUCCCCCACACUGGUACUGAGACACGGACCAGACUCCUACGGGAGGCAGCAGUGAGGAAUAUUGGUCAAUGGUCGGGAGACUGAACCAGCCAAGCCGCGUGAGGGAGGAAGGUACAGAGUAUCGUAAACCUCUUUUGUCAGGGAACAAAGGCGGGGACGUGUCCCCGGAUGAGUGUACCUGAAGAAAAAGCAUCGGCUAACUCCGUGCCAGCAGCCGCGGUAAUACGGAGGAUGCGAGCGUUAUCCGGAUUUAUUGGGUUUAAAGGGUGCGCAGGCGGUCUGUUAAGUCAGCGGUCAAAGCCCGGGGCUCAACCCCCGGCCCGCCGUUGAAACUGGCAGUCUCGAGUUGGAGAGAAGUAUGCGGAAUGCGCGGUGUAGCGGUGAAAUGCAUAGAUAUCGCGCAGAACUCCGAUUGCGAAGGCAGCAUGCCGGCUCCACACUGACGCUGAGGCACGAAAGCGUGGGUAUCGAACAGGAUUAGAUACCCUGGUAGUCCACGCAGUAAACGAUGAAUGCUGGCUGUCCGGGGGGAUUGACCCCUGGGUGGCGAAGCGAAAGCGAUAAGCAUUCCACCUGGGGAGUACGCCGGCAACGGUGAAACUCAAAGGAAUUGACGGGGGCCCGCACAAGCGGAGGAACAUGUGGUUUAAUUCGAUGAUACGCGAGGAACCUUACCCGGGCUCAAACGGGGAGUGACUCAGGCAGAGACGCCUGUUUCCCACGGGACACUCCCCGAGGUGCUGCAUGGUUGUCGUCAGCUCGUGCCGUGAGGUGUCGGCUUAAGUGCCAUAACGAGCGCAACCCCCGCGUGCAGUUGCUAACAGAUAACGCUGAGGACUCUGCACGGACUGCCGGCGCAAGCCGCGAGGAAGGCGGGGAUGACGUCAAAUCAGCACGGCCCUUACGUCCGGGGCGACACACGUGUUACAAUGGGUGGUACAGCGGGAAGCCAGGCGGCGACGCCGAGCGGAACCCGAAAUCCACUCUCAGUUCGGAUCGGAGUCUGCAACCCGACUCCGUGAAGCUGGAUUCGCUAGUAAUCGCGAAUCAGCCAUGGCGCGGUGAAUACGUUCCCGGGC